rnacentral:lncRNA from 1 species
UUUUUUUUUUUUUUUUUUUUUUUUUUUGGGCUACUCAUGCAGCAGGCAGAGAUUCCCAGGCCAGGGACUGAACUGGAGCCACAGCAGCGGCCAGAGCCACAGCAUGACAAUGCCAGGUCCUUAACCCACUGAAUCACCAAGAAACUCCGGGAAAAUUCUUAAGAGUUUAUUACUUCCACUGUUUCCUUUAGCCACUGGAGUGCGGAUAUAUGACUGGUAUUAUUUUACCAUCAAAAAGAUCCCGCUUUAUAGUAAACAACCAUAUUAUUCACUUUUAUUUCCUUGAAAGUAGUCGGCUACAUGAUAACUGUGUUUUUGGAAAGACUUUCAAAUAAGAAUAAUUAUAUUGCAUAACCAGAACCACUAUGUUUUUGGUUAACGUAGGUAUUAUCAUCAAGACCUUAACACUGUGCCCACAGAGUCAGAUCAAGCCACCAAAGGGAUUCUAACCGAUGUCAUUCUAAUCCUGAAGCAUUUGUGGCACUCACAAAGAGGAAGCACAUAAAAAAGACUCCAAAAAGAAUGAUACAGUAAACAGAUUAACUGAAUCCAAUCAAGUGAUUUGAUAACCUGCCUGGGAAUAGACUCAUGAAUUAGGAAUGUGUUUAGAUUCUAAAGAAACAGGAUGAUAAGAAUACCCUAUCUUAAGAAUAAAGCAACUAUAAGGUAGAGAGAGCUCUGUGUGUGCCCCUAGUUUGGGGCAAAGACAUAUCCAUUAUCCUAAGGAUUUCUUUUCUUUUCUUUUCGUUUCUUCUCUCUCUCUUUCUUUCUUGUCUCUUUAGGGCCACAACUUGGCAUAUGGAAGUUCCUAGGCUAGGGGUCAAACUGGAGCUGUAGCUGACAACCUACUCCAUAGUCACAGCAACGGCCAGAUCUGAGCAGCAUCUGUGACCUACACCACAGGUCAUGGCCACACCAGAUCCUUAACUCACUGAGCAAGGCCAAGGAUCGAACCUGCAUCCUCAUGGAUACUAGUCAGGUUUGCUACUGUUGAGCCACAACGGGAAUUCCUUAAGGAUUUCUCUGGUCAUUAAGAAAUCAUAGUGGGUUGAGAAAGCAAUCCUCAAAAUUACAAGCAUCUUUAAACCUAGUAAGAGUUAUAAUGAAAUUUAUAAAAGUUUGAGAAGCCCACAUGUUAGCAUUUCUGUACCUAUUUGGUAUUUUAGCUAUCCAUAAUGUCUAAGAGAAAUAUGCCAGAAUAACAGAUUUGCCUUGUGAUUCCAACUUAAAUAAUGAAUUGAGAAACUGAGUUUAGGCUUGUGUAAAAUUCCACUCAAACAUAUAACAGAACUUAAGUCUUAGCAUACUUGUAAGUCUUCAUUCAUCAGAAAAGCCAUAAAUAGAAGGAAAAUAUUUAUAGAUCACAUAACUGACAAAGGAUUUAUAUCUGGGAUAUAUAAAGAAUUGUCAAAAGUCGGAGUUCCCAUCGUGGUGCAGCAGAAAUGAAUCCAACUAGGAACCAUGAGGUUUGCAGGUUCCAUCCCUGGCCUCGUUCAGUGGGUUAAGGAACUGGUGUUGCCAUGAGCUGUGGUGUAGUUUGCAGAUGAGGCUCAGAUUCCGAGUUGCUGUGGCUGUGGUGUAGGCCUGCAGCUACAGCUCCGAUUCAAUUACUAGCCUGGGAACCUCCAUGUGUCACGGGGGGCGGCCCUAAAAAGCAAAAAAAUUAAAAGUUUUCUCCCAUUAAAAUAAAUCUAUUAAGACUGAAGAAAUCAAACGCCAUCGCUAAGAUCUGAUAUCUUCCCUCUUUAAACAGCCGAAGCAUAUCUAGGAGGCCACAUAUCUUUAAAGUUAGAAUGUGGAGUUCCCGUCAUGGUACAGUGGAAAUGAAUCCAACUAGGAACCAGGAGGUUGUGGGUUCAGGUUUGAUCCCUGGCCUCACUCGGUGGGCUAAGGAUCUGGCGUUGCUGUGAGCUGUGGUGUAGGCUGGCAGGUGUAGCUCCGAUUAGACCUGUAGCCUGGGAACCCUCCAUAUGCCGUGGGUGAGGCCCUAAAAGCAAAAAAUAAGUAAAAAAUAAAGUUAGAACGUGUGAAGUAAUAAUACAUUUUUGUAAAAAAAAUCAUUCAAGAUAACAAUCUCAUUUUUCUCUCAACUUCUAAUUUCCUAAAACAUUUAAACCUGAAAAGAUCAUUAUAAUAAUUACAGGACAUUUUAAAUAAUAUGAAAUUAUUUCUAUCUUUUACCUGUUGAUCCAAACAUGGUCAACACUAAGAUAGAUGUAUAUAAGGUGGAAACAAGAGAAGCACUGUUAGAACUCUUCAAACUAAAAGCUAAUCUCCCCCCCAAAAAAAAUUAAUAUUUCUUUCCAUUCAGGGGUAGGUAUAGAUCAUGUAGUAGAGAAAAAAUAUUAUUGCCUAAUGAAGUUAGAAAAGCCUAAGAACCAAAUGGGAGUUUUAAGAAGAAAAGGAGAUAAGUCAGUGAAGUUUUAAUUGGACGUUGCCCCAAGGUAGAAAACAGUAUGUGUCCAAAUAUUUUUUAUUGAAGUUGGAGCGAUGCUUAGUAUUUGUCAACUUUUCCAUUAUACUAUCCCAGUGAGAAAAGAAACUUAAAACAAACACAAGUCGCAAUUGCCUUUCUGGGUCUCUGGCUCCUGUCAACUACUUAUCUAAAAAGAAAUCAGAUAUGCCUCCCUGCUUUUCAAAGGACUGCUUCAAAAAACCAGGAGAAAAAAUCUGGACAUCGUUAAUCUUUCUGUAUCAUUUAAACUAUGGAGAAAAGUAAAAUGAAGCGGGAAAAUCCUUACUUUCACAUGCGUUAUACUUUCCUCACCAACAGGGAGGAACAAACAGAGAGCAAUGCCAUGGCAGAACCCUGGUCUCAAGUAUCGCCUUUCUACAUCGCCCUCUUCCCCAUCCACUGACUUUUAAGGUCAUCGUUUUAGAAUACCUGCUGGUAGGUUUUCUCCAAGAAAUGCAGCCUUAAAAUGCCUCACAGUAAGCAGGCACCAAAGGAAACAAAUAUGUGUGAAACAACAAAGUCCAAGAAAAAAAAAAUCCUACUUGUCCUUUCUAUUGUAAUAACCACAUGAAUGUGGCAGGCAGAAAUCUGCGCUUGCCCUUACCGUUCCCUUCACGUGGUGAGCGGCCUGUGGAGGGUGGCCUCUAGAAGCUGAGGGUGCAUCCCAGCCAACAAUCAAACAAGAAAGUGGUCCUACAACAACGCGGCACUGAAUGCCACCAACAGCCGGUGAUCUUGGGAACUUGGCACGGGACUCUGAGCCUAAGAUGAUAUCAUGUUCCCAACUGACACCUAGAUUUCAGUCUGGUGAAAUCCCGACAAGGGGAACCAGAUCAUCGGUGCCCAGAAUCCUGACAAACAAGAAAGGCAAGAGAAUAAAUGUGUUUUGCUUUAAGGCACUAAAUUUGUGGUAACUGAAAGUGGGAUUCUGCCAUAACAGUAAUUAAAAAUGUGGGCGCAGCUUUGAAGUUGGGUAGUGAGCAGAAACGGGAAGAAUUUUGAGAAAGCCUAACUUGCUUUGAACAAAUUUACUACAUAUCUGGACUUGAAUCUAAAUAGUGUUGGUGUGAGGGCUCAGGAGGAAACAAGCAACGUGUGACUCAAGGCUGGAGGAGGAAGAUGCUUAUUAUGCAGUGGCAGAAGGUCUGGUCACAUUGUGUCCUGCAGUGACACGGAAAGCAGAGCUUACAAGUGGUAAAACUAAGGAGAUUUCCAAGUGAAGUGCUCAAGGUGCUGGCUCUCGUUUCCUCUUGCUCCUUACAGUAAAAUGCAAAAGAGGUAAGCUGAGGAAGGUGCUCUAAAAGAGAAAGGACAUGGGAGUAGAUGCCUGAAAAUUCCUAGCCUCUCCAGAGAGUAAAAGAUGCUAAAAAUCAGAAAUGGUUGCCAAAAAUAGACAAAAUAAUGACCUUCUGCUAAAAUUUCAGAAAGAUCAAAAGAUGAGAGGAUUUGGUCACAUGAAGGGCCUUUUCAAGAUUUUAAGGGCCUCUGGUAAGCGUGAAAGUUGUCCCUUAGCCAUCUUGGCAGGAGGCAAAGACAGGAAAAGGAUUAUUUUGAAAAAAAAAUUUGCAGGUGUAGUUUUGUCUCGGGUGGCGAAUCCCUGCGAAAUCCACACGAAAACCAGAGUUUCUGAGAAAACUGCUUCAGCCUAAACACUGCCAGGCUGGACUAAAAGAGAAAGAAUCUAAAACGGAAAAAGGCUGUGGGACCCAUCCUCAAUAAGGCUGGUAGAACGACCCAGCUGCAAAUGCAUGAUGCCAUCCUAGAAAAAGGAGGAAUGAUUCAGAAGGCAGAACCAGGACUCAGAGGGCAGAGUUGAGAGCCGUGAAGGAUUAUUCCCAGACUUUGAAUCCUAACCAAAAACCUCCAGUGAGAGUCUGCGAACCUGAAUCUCGGGACUGUGGCGGACCUCGUGACUCCUCUUGGGCUUUUCCAUCCUGCCCCUCCCCUCUGAACCAGCAUGGCCCUAGCAGUCAUCCCACGCUUGUCCCACUAUUGCAUGUUGGGAAUGCUGGGACAGUCUCUUUAAUUUACAGGUUCACAGAUACAUGACACAUAGGAGCCUCAACUAUACCUAACUUAUGUGACUUAAGGUGUGCUUUUGGACUCUGAGCUGAUGCUUUAAUAGGAUGGGAGUCAUGGGAGGGGAUAUAUUUCGCUUAUGUGUGUGUGUAUGGAUGGGGCCAGAGGGCAUAAAUAACAGAGCCAGAGAAAAGACUAUGGUAGGUAGAAUUCUGAGAUGACUCCCCAGAUUCCUGCCCUCCCCUCACCCCCGCAUAGCGGAUGUGUACAAUUGUCUUCCCUAGCAUGUCAAGGGAUAGCAGCUCAGUCGAUUCAGUUGUGUUGUAGAAGACUUUUGGAACAGACUAGAAAGAGAUUGAAAAACAGGGAGAUUGCCCUUGCUGGCCUUAACGGAGCCAGCAGCAAGGCUGUGACCUGCCUAUGGAGGGAGUCACAUGGCAAGGACCUGAUGGUAACGCUGCUGAGGUGAGAGCAGGUCCCAGCGGGCAGCCAGCAAGAAAAGGAUGGAUUGAGACCUUUAGCGCAAGGAAUUGCAUCCUAACAUCUAGUGAGCUUAGAAGACGACCCCCAGCCUCAGAUGAGAUUUCAGCCCAUGUGGCCAUGAGCAGAGGACACAGUUAACCUCCACCUGGACCUCCGAACCACGGGAACUGUCAGAUCAUAAAUGUGUUGUCUGGAGUGACUGACUCUGCGGGAAUCUGUUGUACAAUAGAAAACCAAUGCAACCAGGUCCGCAGAUGUUGAAGAAAACAUAACAAAGUCAGUCGUCGUCUUCUACUUCCGAGGCUUUUUGGAUAAUGUUUUCUGACCAUUAAAACUGCUCUCACCAGACAGGGAACCUGCUAUUAAGUAAAUUAAUCUUGUCUUUCUAGAGUUUUGUUUUUUUUUUUUUUUUUUUUUUUACACAUCUAUUACUUCAUGUUUCAACUGACAAAGCAGUUUGCACUGAGGUGUCUUUAACAUAUACUGUUUGAGACGUAACGUCAGAUGGUCCAGAAAGGUUGACCGAAGCUCCCUCGCCUGAAACGUGAAGUAA